GCUCAGAGAUCAAAGAAACAGACUAUGCAACUUCUCAGACUAAGACUGAAAAGUCAGCAAAAAAGAAAAAGAAAAACAAAGAAAAUUCAGACUUUGAAGAAGCAGACUUUACGACUCCAUCAUCUU